AAUUCCAUUGGUUAAAUUAUUCGAUGUGCAAUGUCUUAUUGAUUAAUGGCCUAAGUUUCAUGUUUUUAUUAAAAACAAAAACAGCUUAAACAUAUCUUCAUGGAAGUAAAUUCACAAAAAAUGAACUCCGAGGAAAAUUCUAAUAGUAAUGUCCCUAAUCAAAUGACAAAUCAAACGCUCAAACACCCCAAACGAAUGGAUAAAAACUGUCUUAUCUCUGAUAUGGACCAGGCAUUUUCUUUCGUAGAUAAUGGUGGAUUGAACCUGAUUUUAUACCUCAUUUGUCAUUGUAAAUAAGUCUCACAUCUUUGAAUUAUGAGCUUAUUGUUUAUAUCAUCAGGCGUUUGUGUAUAAAUUAUACAUUCUAUAAAAAUGACC
rnacentral:lncRNA from 1 species